rnacentral:lncRNA from 1 species
ACCUCCCGAGCUGGCUUGCAGUAAUAAAUGGAACCUGCUUCAGGUGCAGAAAGCUGGGAGGGGUCGAGGGGAGGAAUGCACAGGCUGAUUUACACCUGUCCCUACAGCUGCUAUCGACAACACUUACAGCCUCCAGAAAUGACCCUUGGUGCCGACUUGUCUGGAAGCCAUCAGGGUUAGUUUUGAAGCAGGAAUCUUCAAGUGGACCAGAGGGUUGUCUUCUGCUCCUGAUCUGGUUGGCUGGAGACACUUAGAAGCUAUGGCCUUUCACCUACAGGGUCUCUCUUUGUUGCCUAGGCUGGAGUGCAGUGGAACGAACUUGGCUUAUUGAAGCAUUGACCACCUGGACCCAAGUGAUUCUCCUACCUUAGCCUCUUGAAUAGCUGUGACAACAGGUGUGCACUACCACACCCAGAUAAAUUUUGUAAUUUUUAUAGAGAGGGCAUUUGACCAUGUUGCCCAGGCUGGUCUCAAACUCCUGAGCUCAAGUGAUACUCCUGCCUCGGCCUCCCAAAGUGCUGGGAUUACAGAUGAAGAAAAUGAGGCACUGAGAGAUUACAUAACUUCCCUUGAGUCAUAUUUGCUUGUAAGUGGUAAGGCUGGAUGUUGAACCCAGGACAAAGGGAGCCCAGUGGAGGAUCCCUGGAGGAGCAAAUAGAAGAAACCCAAAAGGGACUUGAAAGCGGGUCCCCUCCCUCACCUGGAUUCCCAGUCCGAAGAGGAGGAAGCAUCCGCCCUCCUUCCCUCCUUCUGACCCACCCAGCCACCCACCCAAGGUGCCAUUAAAGUUAAUUGU